ACCUAACCUCAAAAUUGGCACACAUCAUCUUCCCCAAAAUUUAAUCCACACUUAAACUAAGUUAUGCAUAUUUAUUUAUUAAUUUUUUUACAGAACUAUGAUCCAUGGUUCGACGUCAUGGGGGCAGGCCUAUAUCCAGUCAUCCUUUCUGACCUGAAGAACACCAAAGAGGACUAUUCAUCAAACAAAUAGACCUACCAGGUGGGGAACUGAAGGUGAAAGCCUUGGACUUGAUAAUACUGAUCUUGCUAAUAGCUGCCUAUGGACCCGUGGCGCUUCCGUACCUACUAAUCAGAGCCUGAUUUGGUAUAAGUAUGUAAUAUAGUUGAUGCAUAUAUGUGGGGCGAUUUUGAUGUUAGGGUUUUUUUUGGGAAGAUGAUGAUUAAACGGGAGAAGAGUAUGUUGUUUAUAUAAGGGUAUAAAUGAAUUAUGUAUAAUUCAUUUAGUUUAUUAAUAUGUUAUAAUAAAUUGAGAA